rnacentral:rRNA from 1 species
GAUGAACGCUGGCGGCGUGCCUAACACAUGCAAGUCGAACGGAGAUUACGGACGGAAGUUUUCGGAUGGAAGCCUGUAAUUCUUAGUGGCGGACGGGUGAGUAACGCGUGGGCAACCUGCCCUAUACAGGGGGAUAGCAGCUGGAAACGGCUGGUAAGACCGCAUAAGUCGGUUAAAUCGCAUGAUUUGAUCGGGAAAUGAGCAAUCAGGUAUAGGAUGGGCCCGCGUCCGAUUAGCCAGUUGGCAGGGUAAAAGCCUACCAAAGCGACGAUCGGUAGCCGGACUGAGAGGUCGGACGGCCACAUUGGGACUGAGACACGGCCCAAACUCCUACGGGAGGCAGCAGUGGGGGAUAUUGCACAAUGGAGGAAACUCUGAUGCAGCGACGCCGCGUGAGUGAAGAAGUAUUUCGGUAUGUAAAGCUCUAUCGGCAGGGAAGAUGAUGACGGUACCUGACGAAGAAGCCCCGGCUAACUACGUG